CCGCGGCUCGGCUCGGCUGGGCUCGGCUCGGCUCGGGCUGGCUGAGCGCGGGCGAGUGUGAGCGCGAGUGUGCGCACGCCGCC
rnacentral:miRNA from 1 species